UUGGAGGGCAAGUCUGGUGCCAGCAGCCGCGGUAAUUCCAGCUCCAAUAGCGUAUAUUAAAGUUGUUGCAGUUAAAAAGCUCGUAGUUGAACCUUGGGUCUGGGUGACCGGUCCGCCUCACCGCGUGCACUGGGAGCCCGGACCUUUCCUUCUGGCAAACCUCAUGCCCUUUACUGGGUGUGUUGGGGAACCAGGACUUUUACUUUGAAAAAAUUAGAGUGUUUAAAGCAGGCAUUCGCUUGAAUACAUUAGCAUGGAAUAAUAGAAUAGGACUUUGGUUCUAUUUUGUUGGUUUCUAGGACCGAAGUAAUGAUUAAUAGGGAUAGUUGGGGGCAUUAGUAUUUAAUUGUCAGAGGUGAAAUUCUUGGAUUUAUUGAAGACUAACUACUGCGAAAGCAUUUGCCAAGGAUGUUUUCAUUAAUCAAGAACGAAAGUUAGGGGAUCGAAGACGAUCAGAUACCGUCGUAGUCUUAACCAUAAACUAUGCCGACUAGGGAUCGGAUGAUGUUAAUUUUUUAAUGACUCAUUCGGCGCCUUACGGGAAAC
rnacentral:rRNA from 1 species